UGAAUCCUCACAGGCUUAGGGAAAGCAGACACUGAGGAGGAGGCCAGACACAGACAUCAUGAGAGGACUGUGCAGCAGCUCACUGGAGCAUCUCAGGCACCCAAGGAACUCGUGGAAACAACUGUGCAAGGCCCAGGUGGAGGAAUAGAGAACCUGCAGUUAUUCUGGAAGGCUAAUGCCUACAGUGGCUAUUACAUAUGUGCCCAUGGAGACUUGGACAAAAUCUUC
rnacentral:lncRNA from 1 species